CCAUCAGCAAAACCAUGCAGCACCAGAAGUCACAUUAAUGGUUUUCAUCAUCCCUGGAAUGCAUUCACUCUCAACUCAUCACAAGCUCUUGGAAUCUUCUAAUUUCUGUAAAAGCUCAACUCAAGCACCAAUUCACCAACUCCUAUGUAAAAGACUUCUGGUGACUUCCUUCCUCUUGCCUUAAGUGACUUUGAUUUACUUUGAAUGUACUUUAAUGUUUAUAAAUUUACCUCUAUACAAUUUAAAGUCCUUUAAACUGCAGGUUUGUUUUUUGCUUUUUUUUUUUUUUUUUUUUAAUCUUAUUUUCCUAAUGUUUAGCACAAAGUAGACAUAAUGCAUGCUGAAUUGUUUGGAUUGGAUUGAACAAAGCCAAGAGACCCAGAGAAUUUGACUGAUAAAUAUCACAACACAACAAAAAAGUCAUGGAGCCCACAUUUUGAGGUCCAACCCAGUCAGUGCUUUUCCUUUUGUGGGCUUGGCUCAUUAUUGGGGGAGGGCAGAACUCUCAUUCCGCCCCCCCUUCCCAUUUUUAGUCUUGUAUCAGGAAGUAGAAUCCAGCUGAUAUGAUUUGAGGAUAAUUUGUAACCUAUAAAUCCAGUGUUUCAUUUACAUUCUGGGUUAAUUGUCAUGGUGAUUACAGCAAUACCUUGAUGACAGCUGAUAUAAAACAAUCCACAUCAUUUGAUUACCCAUUAAAUAAGUUCUACCACUCUUGUAAACAGUAGAAUACCCUCAACUAGGAGGCUGAUGUGAUGUUGAAAAUUAAAUUUAUCAAAGUCAUAGCCAAGAUAUAUUGAGAGUUGACAUUAAUAUCUGAUCAACAGUGCCAUUCCUUACCUGAUAAGUGGCCAAAUUAUUUCCAAAAGAAUUGCAAACUAAUGACUAUGAAAGAAUGCCCCCUUCACUCAAAGAGAAAUGCAAUUUAAAACAUUGAUUUUAUGCACACAAAAGUAUUUUAGUCCAUCUUGAUUAGAUAGUAGGAAGAUGAGCACACUUAUACACUAUUGUUGGAACUGGAAACUAGUCCAAAUUCCAAGUGUCAUUUUGUAUUACAAUGUAAGGGAAAUGAUUAAACUUUUUCAGAUUUCUGGAUUCAUUGAUGUCCCCAUUAGUGUAUGUUUCAAAGAGGUCAAAAACAAAUUUCUAAAUAUGUACCAAAAUAUUCAUAGCACACACUGAAAAGAACUGAAACAAAGUAGAUGUCCAUCAACUAAUGAAUGUCUGAAAAAAACUGGAAUGUGAAAGUAAUGAAAUAUUGUGGCCUAAUAUAAAUAUAAGUGUGUUAUUUGGAAUUCUGGGGGUUCCAUUUAAAAGUAUUUGACAAACUUCCUGUGGACAUGUUCCGUGAUCCAGUGAGUUUCCGGUUUUGGAUGUGGUGAUAUCUCCAACAUAUAGCGCAGCUUAAAUUCAGAGGUUGGCCUUGAGACAAGCUCUUUGACUACAUAGACAAGAUGGGAGGAGGUAAGGACAGGCAGCAUUUUUUAAAAUAGUCAGGUGUGGUCUUAUAUAUUUUACCAGCAUGGCCAUGGUAAUUAAAAUAUUAUUUUUCUUCAUAAUAUCAGCCUUUGUCAUUUUUAAUCGUUACAUAAGUAAAUCAGGGUGAAAUGGGAAUGUAUUUGUAAACUGAUAUAAAGUGGAAAAUAAGAAGCAAAGUAUUAGUAUAAAUGAUUAAAACUAUGUAAAUGAAAAUAUUGGUGAAAGUUGAAUGUAAUUAUUGAAAAAACAUUAUAAACAUUGGAUAAUGAAACUACUUACUGAGAUGGGGGGGUACUAAGGCAAAAUGUUUAUGUUGAAUAAGGUGUAUUUGUUAUAUUUUGUUGAAAGAAUGGGAUUCCAUUUGGCAUGCUGGGGAAGCAGGGAAGGGAGUAUUUCCCUUCAUGCCUGAUGUAAAAAACAAAACACAUCAAUAAACUUUUUUUUAAAGAGUAUAAAAUAAUGUGGUAUGUCAACAGUUGUUAUGUCUGUGGCCUACUCAAUUAGCUGUGUGGGGCCUUUUAAACCAGAAGGCAAAAUAAAGUUCAUUAGAAAUUGUCA